GAGCCAGAUUCCAACACUAGUAGCAAUGAUGCAUAGCAUGGUUCUAUGCAGGAUGUGUGGGCACUAGAGAGCUGUGGCUCUAGGAAGAUCAUGUCAGAUGGUUUGUUUGUAGCAAAAAAAGAUCUAGAUACCUAUGAGGAGGCUAAGAUGAGCCUUAGGAUGAGAUAGGUGGGUUUUAGCCCAAACAGGAUUUGAGCUGCAUUCCCUCAGAAGAAGCUGAAGCGACAGUUAGUGCAGGUGC
rnacentral:lncRNA from 1 species